UGCCUUACACAUGCAAGUCGAGCGGCAGCGCGGUCUUCGGACUGGCGGCGAGCGGCGGACGGUUGAGUAACGCGUGGGAACAUGCCCCAAAGUGAGGAAUAACUGCCCGAAAGGGUGGCUAAUGCCGCAUAUGAUCUUCGGAUUAAAGUCUUCGGACGCUUUGGGAGCGGCCCGCGUCGGAUUAGGUUGUUGGUGAGGUAAUGGCUCACCAAGCCGACGAUCCGUAGCUGGUCUAAGAGGAUGACCAGCCACACUGGGACUGAGACACGGCCCAGACUCCUACGGGAGGCAGCAGUGGGGAAUAUUGGACAAUGGGCGCAAGCCUGAUCCAGCGAUGCCGCGUGAGUGAAGAAGGCCUUCGGGUUGUAAAGCUC
rnacentral:rRNA from 1 species